AGAGUUUGAUCCUGGCUCAGAUUGAACGCUGGCGGCAGGCCUAACACAUGCAAGUCGAGCGGAUGAAGGGAGCUUGCUCCUGGAUUCAGCGGCGGACGGGUGAGUAAUGCCUAGGAAUCUGCCUGGUAGUGGGGGAUAACGUCCGGAAACGGGCGCUAAUACCGCAUACGUCCUGAGGGAGAAAGUGGGGGAUCUUCGGACCUCACGCUAUCAGAUGAGCCUAGGUCGGAUUAGCUAGUUGGUGGGGUAAAAGGCCUACCAAGGCGACGAUCCGUAACUGGUCUGAGAGGAUGAUCAGUCACACUGGAACUGAGACACGGUCCAGACUCCUACGGGAGGCAGCAGUGGGGAAUAUUGGACAAUGGGCGAAAGCCUGAUCCAGCCAUGCCGCGUGUGUGAAGAAGGUCUUCGGAUUGUAAAGCACUUUAAGUUGGGAGGAAGGGCAGUAAGUUAAUACCUUGCUGUUUUGACGUUACCAACAGAAUAAGCACCGGCUAACUUCGUGCCAGCAGCCGCGGUAAUACGAAGGGUGCAAGCGUUAAUCGGAAUUACUGGGCGUAAAGCGCGCGUAGGUGGUUCAGCAAGUUGGAUGUGAAAUCCCCGGGCUCAACCUGGGAACUGCAUCCAAAACUACUGAGCUAGAGUACGGUAGAGGGUGGUGGAAUUUCCUGUGUAGCGGUGAAAUGCGUAGAUAUAGGAAGGAACACCAGUGGCGAAGGCGACCACCUGGACUGAUACUGACACUGAGGUGCGAAAGCGUGGGGAGCAAACAGGAUUAGAUACCCUGGUAGUCCACGCCGUAAA
rnacentral:rRNA from 1 species